UUUCAAGAAUCUGAGGAAGAUUGCUUCCACACCAUUUCGCGACUUUGUCUCCACCGUGGCCGUCAUAAACCGCAAAAAAGUCGACCGGGUCUUUUACUGCAGAGCACUCCAUUGAAAGUAUAGCAGAAUGAGCAUCUUCCAUUGAGAUACGCCAUCCUUGCAUGCUUGAAAGUCCAUAAAGGACGAACUCAUUGCUCCCGUUCACCGAGUGCUUCUCGGUGACUGGCUCUGAUAAUGUCUGACCCAUUGACAGCUCUUGCUAAUAGAUGACACAAAUUUUCACGUUUUCUUUUUGUGUCGCUUCAAAACGGGUUAUGUAGUAGUGAUAGGUAAAUCGCUAGUAGGUGGUGGAGCUUGUCGGAGGGAGUGUUGUGGCACCCUCUACAACUACAUCACCACCGUGGAGACGAACGAUAGUUGUUAAAAGACUAUGGAAGGUAACAAGAUUAGCAGUAGUCAAGGCAUAUAUGUAAACAACAGAAUAAAUGGUAUCAAGGACUAAAUACUUAUAAAUUUCAAAUGUUCAUUAAAAAACAUGUGUAAACAUAGCAUAUCCUAUAAAUUGAUUUUUCAAUGGUUUGCAUUUUACUAUGACUACAAUAGAGACAAAAACAACGCUGAGUAGAAUGCCCCAACAAAUUCAGCAACUUGAUUCAGAAAAAAUUUCUAUUAG